rnacentral:rRNA from 1 species
AACGAACGCUGGCGGCAGGCUUAACACAUGCAAGUCGAACGCUCGUAGCAAUACGGGAGUGGCGGACGGGUGAGUAACGCGUGGGAACGUGCCCUGAGGUACGGAAUAACUGAGGGAAACUUCAGCUAAUACCGUAUGAGCCCCGAGAGGGGGAAAGAUUUAUCGCCUUGGGAGCGGCCCGCGUCGGAUUAGCUAGUUGGUGGGGUAACGGCCUACCAAGGCUUCGAUCCGUAGCUGGUCUGAGAGGACGAUCAGCCACACUGGGACUGAGACACGGCCCAGACUCCUACGGGAGGCAGCAGUGGGGAAUCUUGCGCAAUGGGGGGCAACCCUGACGCAGCCAUGCCGCGUGAACGAUGAAGGCCUUAGGGUUGUAAAGUUCUUUUACCCGUGACGAUGAUGACGGUAACGGGGGAAUAAGCUCCGGCUAAACUUCGUGCCAGCAGCCGCGGUAAU